AUUGAACGCUGGCGGCAGGCCUAACACAUGCAAGUCGAGCGGAUGAGAAGAGCUUGCUCUUCGAUUCAGCGGCGGACGGGUGAGUAAUGCCUAGGAAUCUGCCUGGUAGUGGGGGACAACGUUUCGAAAGGAACGCUAAUACCGCAUACGUCCUACGGGAGAAAGCAGGGGACCUUCGGGCCUUGCGCUAUCAGAUGAGCCUAGGUCGGAUUAGCUAGUUGGUGAGGUAAUGGCUCACCAAGGCGACGAUCCGUAACUGGUCUGAGAGGAUGAUCAGUCACACUGGAACUGAGACACGGUCCAGACUCCUAGGGGAGGCAGCAGUGGGGAAUAUUGGAAAAUGAGCGAAAGCCUGAUCCAGCCAUGCCGCGUGUGUGAAGAAGGUCUUCGGAUUGUAAAGCACUUUAAGUUGGGAGGAAGGGCAGUAAGUUAAUACCUUGCUGUUUUGACGUUACCGACAGAAUAAGCACCGGCUAACUCUGUGCCAGCCGCCGCCGUAACAC
rnacentral:rRNA from 1 species